rnacentral:rRNA from 1 species
GACGAACGCUGGCGGCGUGCUUAACACAUGCAAGUCGAACGGAAAGGCCCUGCUUUUGUGGGGUGCUCGAGUGGCGAACGGGUGAGUAACACGUGAGUAACCUGCCCUUGACUUUGGGAUAACUUCAGGAAACUGGGGCUAAUACCGGAUAGGAGCUCCUGCUGCAUGGUGGGGGUUGGAAAGUUUCGGCGGUUGGGGAUGGACUCGCGGCUUAUCAGCUUGUUGGUGGGGUAGUGGCGUACCAAGGCUUUGACGGGUAGCCGGCCUGAGAGGGUGACCGGCCACAUUGGGACUGAGGUACGGCCCAGACUCCUACGGGAGGCAGCAGUGGGGAAUAUUGCACAAUGGGCGGAAGCCUGAUGCAGCAGCGCCGCGUGCGGGAUGACGGCCUUCGGGUUGUAAACCGCUUUCGCCUGUGACGAAGCGUGAGUGACGGUAAUGGGUAAAGAAGCACCGGCUAACUACGUG